rnacentral:ncRNA from 1 species
AUACGCUUACAUACAUAAAGGUAUAGUACUAACCACAAUUGUAAGUUGUACUACCCGUGUUGGGAUGCUGGGGGUUGCUGGUCCUGGAAUUUUCCAACCAGCGCAAAAUCAAUAGAUACGACAGACCGGACUAACGAACUGAAUUGCGUCGCAGACUCGAAGCCGCAGGUGACAUUGAAUUCGAUAGAUUUCCAUACCUCCGCGAUAAAAAAAAAAAAAAAAUAUCCAAAUGCCUCGUCAUCUAAUUAGUGACGGCCAUGAAUGGAUUAACGAGAUUCCUACUGUCCCUAUCUACUAUCUAGCGAAACCACAGCCAAGGGAACGGGCUUGGAAUAAUUAGCGGGGAAAGAAGACCCUUUUGAGCUUGACUCUAAUCUGGCAGUGUAAGGAGACAUAAGAGGUGUAGAAUAAGUGGGAGAUAUUAGACCUCGGUUUGGUAUCGUCAAUGAAAUACCACUAAUCUUAUUGUUUCCUUACUUACUUGAUUAAAUGGAACGUGUAUCAUUUCCUAGCCAUUAUACGGAUAUAUUUAUUAUAUCUUAUGGUAUUGGGUUUUGAUGCAAGCUUCUUGAUCAAAGUAUCACGAGUUUGUUAUAUAAUCGAAUACAAAUUCUUUAAUAAAAUGAUGCAUUUAUGUAUUUUUGAUUUGAAAAUUUGGCAUAACUCAGGUAUGAUCCAAUUUAAGGACAUUGCCAGGUAGGGAGUUG